UCGUCAUGUGUCACAAUUUUAUUAGAGGUUGACGUUAAUUAAGUGCAUCAAAUUAACAUCUAAUAAAAUCGUGACAUGUAACAAUCAACGUCCAAUAAAAACACAACACUUGACGGUCAAGAUAAUCAAUUAACGUCCAAUUUUGAGAUUA
rnacentral:pre_miRNA from 1 species